rnacentral:tRNA from 1 species
GGGGUUGUGGCUCAGUGGCAGAGCAUUCACCUUGUAUGUGUGAAGCACUGGGAUCGAUCCUCAGCACCACA